CCCAGACAAAGUUGGCCAGAUGCUGCACCUGCUGAGAGCCCAGGGACAAAGGUGAAUUAAAAAUUAGCAAUAUGGAAGAUACUAAAAAGGGCACUGCUGGGGUUUGGUUCAGAAAAAGCCAAAGGUCUGAAGCAUCACUGACAGGAUACCUCAAGGCUGGCAUUACUUAAGACUGUCCACUGUCUACUGUGAUCUAAGAAUAAUUGAAGUUGUGAACCAAAAUGUAUCUGAAAGCAGUCAGGAAGAAGGUUUCCGAAUGAUAGAAUGAUGGGUGAUAGAAAACAGAAAUGCCAGCAACAACAGGCAGUGCUUCUCACAACAAUAAAAAAGUUCCAAAAGUUUUGAGAAGUCAGAAGAAAUCUGAAAGGAAUUAGUGAUCCUAAAAAUAUGUUAGAAAACCAGAAGCUUGAUUUACAGAGGAAUAAAAAUAUUGAGAAAUUACAAGCAGCCGUUACUAAAAGGAGUUCCAUAAUCUUUUCCCAGGCACUUGGAUAAAGUUUCAUGUUUUCCAUAAUAACAACAACAAUUAAAAAAAAUGAAGCUGGUACACACAUUGGACCAUGGAAAGUACACAUGGGUCAGAAUCAGCUGACCCAAGAAUGAAGAAGGCCAUGCUGGUUGACUCAGCCUUCCAUCCUUCUGAGAUACCCUGUAGUCUGCUCGCCUGUCAAGGAGAUGUGGAAGUGUGCUGGCAUUCCAGCUGAAGACAUCAUUAUGAGUGAGAAAAUGCUCAAGGCCUUUUUUCAAAGUGGGCACUGAAAGAGAUGCUUUCCUUCUUUAACUCCAGGGGAUGCUAAGAGCUGCUCCAACAGACAGGUAUUGUAAGAUUGGAUGAUGUGGUACAGCUGAUGCAAAGGCAAAACUUGAAAUGAGCAUGUUUGAAAUCCCAAAGUCUGUGGUCUGCAGCUCCUCCUUCCAAGCACCAUAGAAGAACUGAAUUGAUAGGGCUUGUCCUCUGCUACUGAUAACCAAGAUUUGAUCCAUAAAAGUAGGCAGGUUUGUGAGCAAUAGGAAAGGAGCAGUUUUACUUUAACUCUUGCCAUUGAAUCUGAAGAGUAAUUGCCACCCUGGAAAGGUAAUUACAUAUGCUAUUGUUUAUACACAUAAUAGGUCUGGAAUGCAUGUUCUGCAAAUAGAAAAAAGAAAAAGAAAAUCCUGCUUUCAGAUUGGGGCGGUACACAAUGUAUAGUGACAGAAUGCCACAAAUAGCAUUCAUACCCCUGCAUGUUAAUAGGUGAUUUCUCUUGGUGUGUGUGUUUAAGGCCGGGGAUGGGAGGAGGGAUUUAGAGCAUGAAAGGGAAGGGAAGGAAAAAAGGCUUUUUUAUAAAGUACCAUGUAAAUACAAGUGAUUUCCCCCUCUCCCUCGCUGUUCCUAGUUCCCUUUCUCUUGCUGUCUCUUUCUUUUUAAAAGAAUCAAGAGAAAUGUUUUUGAAGCUUCAAAGGGAUUGCACUCUUCUCUUACCCCAUGGGAAUAUUAAUUACUCCCAAACUUUUAAAAUUUCUUGAACAAUACCAUAUGUGUUUGUAAAAGAAAUUACAGAGAAAGCUGUACUAAAGGGGUCUUGACUUGAAUUGCCCUGAAAUUGGACUAAACAGUUUGACAGAAUAUUGGAUAGCAGUUUGAAGCAUCCUGCUGUGCCUGGAGCGGGACACGACACACACACACACACACACACACAGACAGACAGACAGAGAGAAAGAGAC